rnacentral:rRNA from 1 species
GACGAACGCUGGCGGCGUGCCUAAUACAUGCAAGUAGAACGCUGAAGGAGGAGCUUGCUUCUCUGGAUGAGUUGCGAACGGGUGAGUAACGCGUAGGUAACCUGCCUGGUAGUGGGGGAUAACUAUUGGAAACGAUAGCUAAUACCGCAUAAUAGCAGUUGUUGCAUGAUAACUGUUUGAAAGGUGCAAUUGCACCGCUACCAGAUGGACCUGCGUUGUAUUAGCUAGUUGGUGGGGUAACGGCUCACCAAGGCGACGGUACAUAGCCGACCUGAGAGGGUGGUCGGGCAAACUGGGACUGGGACAAGGGCCAGGCUCCUACCGGAGGCAGCAGUAGGGGAACUUCGGCCAUGGGCGGAAGGCUGGACGAGCAACGGCGGGGGGGUGGAGGAGGGUUUCGGGUCGUAAAACUCUGUUGUAAGGGGAGGACGGGUGUGAGGGUGGAAAGUUCACACUGUGACGGUAUCUUAACAGAAAGGGACGGCUAACUACGUG